rnacentral:rRNA from 1 species
GACGAACGCUGGCGGCGUGCUUAACACAUGCAAGUCGAACGGAAAGGCCCUGCUUGCAGGGUACUCGAGUGGCGAACGGGUGAGUAACACGUGGGUGAUCUGCCCUGCACUUCGGGAUAAGCCUGGGAAACUGGGUCUAAUACCGGAUAGGAGCCAUUUUUAGUGUGAUGGUUGGAAAGUUUUUUCGGUGUAGGAUGAGCUCGCGGCCUAUCAGCUUGUUGGUGGGGUAAUGGCCUACCAAGGCGGCGACGGGUAGCCGGCCUGAGAGGGUGGACGGCCACAUUGGGACUGAGAUACGGCCCAGACUCCUACGGGAGGCAGCAGUGGGGAAUAUUGCACAAUGGGCGCAAGCCUGAUGCAGCGACGCCGCGUGGGGGAUGACGGCCGUCGGGUUGUAAACUCCUUUCGCUAGGGACGAAGCUUUUUGUGACGGUACCUAGAGAAGAAGCACCGGCUAACUACGUG